UACGUAGGGGGCAAGCGUUGUCCGGAUUUAUUGGGCGUAAAGAGCGUGUAGGCGGCUAAUUAAGUCAAAUGUGAAAUCCCCCGAGCUUAACUUGGGAAUUGCAUUCGAUACUGGUUAGCUAGAGUGUGGGAGAGGAUGGUAGAAUUCCAGGUGUAGCGGUGAAAAUGCGUAGAGAUCUGGAGGAAUACCGAUGGCGAAGGCAGCCAUCUGGCCUAACACUGACGCUAGGUGCGAAAGCAUGGGUAGCAAACAGGG
rnacentral:rRNA from 1 species